rnacentral:rRNA from 2 species
GGCAGACGGGUGAGUAACACGUGGGAACCUUCCUAGGGGUACGGAACAACUCAGGGAAACUUGAGCUAAUACCGUAUACGUCCGUGAGGAGAAAGAUUUAUCGCCCUUAGACGGGCCCGCGUCGGAUUAGGUAGUUGGUGGGGUAACGGCCUACCAAGCCUACGAUCCGUAGCUGAUCUUAGAGGAUGAUCAGCCACACUGGGACUGAGACACGGCCCAGACUCCUACGGGAGGCAGCAGUGGGGAAUCUUGGACAAUGGGCGCAAGCCUGAUCCAGCCAUGCCGCGUGAGUGAAGAAGGCCUUAGGGUUGUAAAGCUCUUUUGCCAGGGACGAUAAUGACGGUACCUGGAGAAUAAGCCCCGGCAAACUUCGUGCCAGCAGCCGCGGUAAUACGAAGGGGGCUAGCGUUGUUCGGAAUUACUGGGCGUAAAGCGCACGUAGGCGGGUCGUUAAGUCAGGGGUGAAAUCCCGGAGCUCAACUCCGGAACUGCCUUUGAUACUGGCGAUCUAGAGAUCGAGAGAGGUGAGUGGAAUUCC